GACGAACGCUGGCGGCGUGCUUAACACAUGCAAGUCGAACGGAAAGGCCCUGCUUUUGUGGGGUGCUCGAGUGGCGAACGGGUGAGUAACACGUGAGUAACCUGCCCUUGACUUUGGGAUAACUUCAGGAAACUGGGGCUAAUACCGGAUAGGAGCUCCUGCUGCAUGGUGGGGGUUGGAAAGUUUCGGCGGUUGGGGAUGGACUCGCGGCUUAUCAGCUUGUUGGUGGGGUAGUGGCUUACCAAGGCUUUGACGGGUAGCCGGCCUGGGAGGGUGACCGGCCACAUUAGGACUGAGAUACGGCCCAGACUCGUACGGGAGGCAGCAGUGGAGAAUAUUGCACAGUGGGCGGAAGCCUGAUGCAGCGACGCCGCGUGCGGGAUGCCGGCCUUCGGGGUGUAAACCGCUUUCGCCUGUGACGAAGAGUGAGUGACGGUAAUGGGUAAAGAAGCACCGGCUAACUACGUG
rnacentral:rRNA from 1 species